rnacentral:rRNA from 1 species
CCUACGGGUGGCAGCAGUGGGGAAUAUUGCACAAUGGGCGCAAGCCUGAUGCAGCCAUGCCGCGUGUGUGAAGAAGGCCUUCGGGUUGUAAAGCACUUUCAGCGGGGAGGAAGGCGGUGAGGUUAAUAACCUCAUCGAUUGACGUUACCCGCAGAAGAAGCACCGGCUAACUCCGUGCCAGCAGCCGCGGUAAUACGGAGGGUGCAAGCGUUAAUCGGAAUUACUGGGCGUAAAGCGCACGCAGGCGGUCUGUCAAGUCGGAUGUGAAAUCCCCGGGCUCAACCUGGGAACUGCAUUCGAAACUGGCAGGCUAGAGUCUUGUAGAGGGGGGUAGAAUUCCAGGUGUAGCGGUGAAAUGCGUAGAGAUCUGGAGGAAUACCGGUGGCGAAGGCGGCCCCCUGGACAAAGACUGACGCUCAGGUGCGAGAGCGUGGGGAGCAAACAGGAUUAGAUACCCUAGUAGUC